GAUGAACGCUGGCGGCGUGCUUAACACAUGCAAGUCGAACGGAAAGGCCCUGCUCUUGUUGGUUGCUCGAGUGGGGAAGGGGUGAGUAACACGCGAGUAACAUGCACUUGACAUUGGGAUAAAAUCAGGAAAAUGGGGCGAUUAUAGGAUAGGAGCUCCUGCAGCAUGUUGGGGGAUGGAAAGAUUCGGCGGUUGGGGCUGGAAUGGAGGGUUAUCCGCUAGUUGGGGGGGUAGUGGCUUCACAGGCGUGUGAGGGGUAGCCGGCCUGGGAGGGGGACCAGGGACAUUGGGACUAAGAGACGGCCCAGACUCCAACGGUAGGCAGCAGUGGAGAAUAUUGCGCAAUGGGCGGAAGUCAGAUGCAGCAACGCCGCGUGCGGGAUGACGGCUUUCGGGUGAUAAACCGCUUUCGACUGAAACGAAGCGUGAGUGACGGUAAUGGGUAAAGAAGCACCGGCUAACUACGUG
rnacentral:rRNA from 1 species